GAUCAGCCUGAGCCACGGCCGCGUCGUCUACAGCCCCGGGGAGCCGCUGGCUGGGACCGUGCGCGUGCGCUUGGGGGCACCGCUGCCGUUCCGAGCCAUCCGGGUGACCUGCACAGGUUCCUGCGGGGUCUCCAACAAGGCUAAUGACACAGCGUGGGUAGUGGAGGAGGGUUACUUCAACAGUUCCCUGUCGCUGGCAGACAAGGCCACAGCACCCACGUCCUUUGAGGGUCCUUUUGGGAAGAUCGUGCACCAGGUGAGGGCCACCAUCCACACGCCACGGUUUUCCAAGGAUCACAAGUGCAGCCUCGUGUUCUAUAUCUUGAGCCCCUUGAACCUGAACAGCAUCCCAGACAUUGAGCAACCCAACGUGGCCUCUGCCACCAAGAAGUUCUCCUACAAGCUGGUGAAGACGGGCAGCGUGGUCCUCACAGCCAGCACUGAUCUCCGCGGCUAUGUGGUGGGGCAGGCACUGCAGCUGCAUGCCGACAUUGAGAACCAGUCAGGCAAGGACACCAGCCCUGUGGUGGCCAGUCUGCUGCAGAAAGUGUCCUAUAAGGCCAAGCGCUGGAUCCACGACGUACGGACCAUCGCAGAGGUGGAGGGUGCGGG
rnacentral:sRNA from 1 species